AAGAUAACUUGGCUCUCUACUUUAAAAGGAGUUACUUCUUCUUAUAGAAAAAUCGCAGAUGCAUACUUUUUGUUUAAUUUUGACAGAACAUGUAAAAAGGGUUUAACUAUUUAUGCGGGGUUAGGUCGAUAUAUAAAAGAAACCCUAGAUCUUGUUCAUUCAAUCAAGGGAUUUGAAAUGUUGGUAUGUGGUUUACAUGUAUAGUUUGCGAAGAAAAUUAAGUGAAGGGGUGGGGGAGUAUGUAAUAUGUAUAGAUGUGAAUGUGAACGGAAAGCUAGGUUUCAGAUCUGACUCUCUCUCUCUCUGGGUGUGUGGGUGUGUGUGUGUGGAUGUGGAAUAUAGUGAAGUAAAAUAGGGGAAGCUCAAGCUUGAAGCUACUGACAGAAGAGAGUGAGCACACAAACGCAGGCAAUUGUAUAAAAGCAUAUACCUUGGUGCGGUGCGUGCUCACUUCUCUCUCUGUCAGCUGCUGCUGCUGCUGCUGCCGCCGGCCUUGCCCUUCCAUUCUUUUAUCUCACUUAAAUUCACAGAGAAGGGCACUGUCCACAGAUGCUUUCUCAUCAGCGGCCCAGGAAAAAGGCAGGAAAGUAAAGCCAGGGGCCACGGUCCCCUCUUCUCUUUCAAUUAUCCUUCUUCCAGGUGUCUCUCUCUCCAGAACAUUUUUUUAUGUCCUCAUCCAUACGGUACGCAUGUCCAUCACACAUCUCUCUCUAUCUAUCUCUCUCUCUCCAUUUACUCAAUUUUUAAAAUUAUAAAUAUUUUAUUUUUCCAUCCCAGCUGACCUGAUAGAUCAUAGAUAGAUAGAGAUGUAUAUGACACAUUUCUUGCAGGAUUUAGUACAUGGAUCAUCCUAUAUCUCCUCUAUCGUCUUUGAUGUGGCUGUAUAUUCUUCUCAUCUCUUUCUCACGCUUACAGUUGUCUUUCUGUUUGUGAUUCAAGCUUACUGGAUGGAUCUACGUGGCUCCUGGAGUUCACAACCACAUGUUAUUUAUUGCUAUUUUAUUUAUAUGUAAUUUUUGCUACCCGUGCACAACUAGAUCUUCAUCCAUCUAUCAGACACACUCCCUUUUUGUUCCCUCUUCCCCCUCCCCGUUACAUAUAAUUUGUUUUUUCUUUUCUUUUAUGUAUAUGAUUUAUGAUUUUUAUUUAUAACAAUUCAACAUAUAUUAUUGAAAUUAUUUAAUAGUAAUAAUUAUUAUUAGUUAUUCUAAGUUGUGAUUGGAGUUUGAAAGCGUGACUUUUGAUGGUCCUUGCUAGAUCUUCUUGAGCAGUUGAAGAGGACGAAUUGGGUUUUGAAUAUUCAAUCAAGUACUCAGUGAACUGCUAAAUAUGGAAUGCAACUCAUUCUUUCCUCAUAUGGCCAGAUCUCAGUUUUUCUUGUGUCAGAAAUUACAUUUUCGAAGAUGGGAAGAAUUUCCUUAUACAGAUUUAUGCUUCCAUUCGUUUGCAGAAUGUUAAUCAUCAAGUCCACUAUACUCUUGAGCUUUUUUGUAGGCACAUUGUGUAAAUUCAGAACUUUUGUAGGACGGUUUCUUGCCACAUAGGACAGGAAUUAAUGACGCUUGAAUAAGCACUGACGAUUUAGAACUUUCAGGUUUGGAUGUACUAUCAAGCCACCUUAAAGUGAUGGCUUCUGCGCUGAAUUGCGAGCUUCCAAUUUACCUUUCGUCUUUUGGCUUAGCACUGAUGAAGCAAAUGUGCAGAAAUUACUCUUUGUUGGUGCGAGCAUGCAUAGGAAACAGAACAUCAGUCUCUUCGAAGUUCAAAGGGUUUGGGAUCAGCGAAAGGGUUUAGCUUGGCACCUAGAAUUCCUGAGACGCGAGGAAGCUGCAAUCUCAAAGCUCAUGAUCGAUAUCAUAUGAGCAUUGCUCUGCAAAAAGCUUUGGAGGGGAAUUCAAGGUCUCGGCCUUUCUAAGACUAUAAAUUUACAGAUAGUUUCUGUUUGUGUAUUUUUUCUUUUCCCAAUUCUUAUCCAAACGAUAAGAUAUUUUACAGACAAUAUAUUAUCCAUGCAUUUGAUUUUAGUGAGUCGAAUUUGAUAUCUUCUGCGAGUGGAAGACUCUCUUGAUGUUUUCUCAA